GAUCAAUGAUUCAUUGAGUCCAGUUUUAAAAUAUAAACGUUUGAAAAAUCGGUGAAAAAAUUGAUAAAAAUCGCAGCUGAAGUCAUUGUAUCAUCUCAAACAAUGCAUUGGUAUCGACAUGAAUAUAUCGAAUACAAAUUAUACACACGGGGCCUAAUUGUCUAACGGAGUUCAUUGAUCGUAAAGUUCAUACGAUCGGCUACGAUCAACGAUCAAUCGUAACUUUACAUUGGUAUUGUCUAAUUUAGUUCAUUAUAUGAAGACCGGAUGGUGAACGAUGAACUGAAAUCAUUCAUGAAGAUUGCGUAUUGUUUAUGCAAAACGAUAGUGAAACUAUCGUUAAUAAUAUUAUCAAAUUUAAGUUAAACUCCAUAAUAAUGCAUAUAUUUUAACAAAAUUUUAAUUCUUUUACUUAAAACAUUAAAGAAGCAUUAAAUUUCACGAAAAACAUCUACUAUUGAAGAAAAUAGCAUGAGAAAAUGGUACAUGCAACUCAAGUAACAAAACGCAAUUAACGAAUUUAACCAAGGGCUAUUUGGACUAUUUGGUAAUCUCCCUGUUGUCUGUGUAGGCUAGUGUCAAAAUAACGGGGUAUCCUAUUAGUCUGUGGUGAAACAUAGCAUAUUAAUAACCUGUGGAUUAGAAAUUUUAAUUUAACAAAACAAAACAAAAUUUUUAUUUUUCAGGUUUUAAAGAGAAUUUAGAAAUUGAGCAAAGUUUUACUAAAUUAUAGUGAUCUUAGGAGCAAAGUUUACUUCGUUUGUGUUAUUGUUAAUCAAAAAUAUAAAAGUAAACAAAAAAGAAAACUACCUCUAUCUAAUUUUGUCGAUGUCCAUUUCUUAAGAAGUUUCUCAUUAAAACAACCCUUAACUCAGGCAAGGCAGGGCUAAGGUGGUUAGCGUAACUACAAGUGGUUUACUUACAGUUAGCCAACUGAAGAACAAUCAACAAUGCCCGAUUAAUAAGUGAUCGCGCUGCUUGUCUACUCAUGUCCCUGCACUAGUUAUAGCAGUAAUUUCUUUGUUCGGAAGUAUUUAGCACAUCCGAGCUGCACAAAAGGAGAGGACUAAAAUGAUUAUUAUGAACAGACCAUUAUGAUGAACCACUGAUAUUGACUCAGAGACAUGAAGAUGAGUGCUUUGACAACAAGACUGACUAGCUGAGCCAGCUUAAGAAUUAUGUGGUGUGUGUGUGUGUCUAAUUCCAGGAGCUCUCUAUGUCAGCCAUCCAUCUAUAUUCUUACUCAUUUUUGUUAAUUAUAAAAUAAAUUUGAUUAUUUA